UGGGGCGACGGGGUUGGGCCCGGAGCGCGGCAACCGGGAACCGGCCGGCGCAGGGACCCAGCGCGCCGCUCUCCGGAAGUGCCUGUCCGAUCCCGGAGUCCCUGGGGUCAGGGUCCCACCAUGGCCCAUCGGCCGCCGGUUUCCAAACCGGCGCCCUUUAACAAACGCUCGCGCUUUUAAGCGCUCCCUGCGUAGCUGUGCCAGUGCCUUAAAACCCGUGGCAAAGGCUUCGGUGUCUUACAAACGCUUGGCCGCACGGAGUGGACCUGACUGGGGCCCAAAUGCUUCCCUGCCCAGCCUGAUUCCGGGGCUCCACUUGCCGGACCGGGCUGGGCAAGAGUGUGGUUUUUCAGACUCUUUGGGGUGGCCAUGGUCUGCCCGCCCCCAUGAGGCCUGCUGUGGCUGAGCUGGCCGCUGGGGGAGGCAGUGGCAGAAUGGAAUUGAAAGAAAACCAGCAGCCUUCACGACCUCAGGGAGUUUGCAGGACCCUGGAGGACUCUUGCCCACCAGGCAGCCCCUGGGGAGCUCCUGGCUGAGGUCCGGCCCUGCUGGGAAGGUCAGUCAUGGAGUGGGGGGUCUUCUAGCCACCGGCAGAGCAGACAGGCCCCUGCCCUCAGGGCCUUCAGAGUUGUGAACUGCAGCCAAACCCAGGGUGCUAAGAAAAGGUGGCCAUGCCACCAGAGUCCCUGCUCAGGGCCAGCAGGCGAGUGGGCCAGACACCACUGGAGUCCCUGGGGACGGUGGGUUGCCUCUGGGUGAUGAUCACAUGCCGCGUUAAUGAGAACUGUUGGCUGAUCUAGGAUGUGUGCGUAUUUCUGUUUAUUAUGUAUUUAUUUACUCCCGUGCUCUGAAGUCCUGAGGCCUGUUUGCCUGGUACCUGCCAGGCAAUGACUCACCACGGAGCUGCAUUCCCAGCCCUCUUCUUUUCGUUUUUAAAUAGGGCAUCAUAAGUUGCUGAGUCUAGCCUCAAACUUCAAUCCCCUUUCCUCAGCCUCCUAAAUUGCUAGGAUCACAGGCCUGCGCCACUGUGCCCAGUUGGUAAGCACAUUCUUUUGCUUAACAUUCUGCCUUGACCCACCUAAAGACAGGAGACACAGGAAGUGGCCAGCUUCCCUCUCAUGUCCUUCAUUACCGUCAUGAAGAACUUGACACACAUAAGCCAUUUUGUUUUGUGUUUUUCCUUUUCCAGUGUUAUUUUGGAGAUAGCAUUCACUUUUAAAAUUUGUUCUUUUUAACAAUACAUGACAAUAGAGUGUAUUUUUUUAAAUAUUUAUUUUUUUUAGUUGUAAUUGGAGACAGUACCUUUGUUUUCUUUAUUUAUUUUUAUGUGGUGCUGAAGAUCAAACCCAGGGCCUCACACGCGCUAGGUGAGCGCUCUACCACUGAGCCCCAGCCCCAGCCUGACCCAGCUUGACAAUAGAGUAUAUUUUGACAUUUUUACAAACAUGGAAUAUGUUUUAUUAGGAUCCCAGUCUUGCUGUGAAGAGUCACUAUGGUACAUUCACAUAUGUACAUAGAAAACUUAUGUCACAUUCAUUCCACUGUCUUCCUAUUCCUGUCCCCCUCUGUAACAGGGGUCUAUUUUAGGCUUUGAAUUAGCCCUUGCUGUUUGGCCACUGCAACUUUUUUUAUUUUUAUUUUUUGUGAGAGAGAGAGAGAGAAUUUUAGUAUUUAUUUUCUAGUUUUCGGCAGACACAACAUCUUUGUUGGUAUGUGGUGCUGAGGAUCGAACCCGGGCCGCACGCAUGCCAGACGAGCGUGCUACCGCUUGAGCCACAUCCCCAGCCCAACUGCAACUGAUUUUUAAAAUGGUCAUUUCUUCUUCUUCCUCUCUCCCUGCUCCUCCCUAAUCUCAGGGGAAACAGGGUGACCUUCCCCACCCUGGGCAGAGUAUCUGUCCCUGAGCACACACCCGCAGGAGAUUGAAGUAAUCCAGGCUUGGGGAUGGCACCAAAAGAUCUCAGAGAAGACUAUUUCCCAAGUUAAGGAGUGAGUCACACUCCAACAGAGAGGUAGCCUGAGUCACCUCUUUAACAGCCCCUGCUCCUGCUGAGGGGCAGAAUCACACCUAUGGAAGUCCCCUGUGCUUCUCCUUUGCUAGCAAAGCAAUAAAGAUUUCUUUUUCACUUUUCUCAACACUGAGUCCUCGUUAUUGGGUUGGCAUCAGGGACAAGGACGAGCUUUCAGUAACACAACACCUCCCUUCCCUUCAUUCCCCUUGGUCUAAUUCACUGAACUUCCAUCUUCCCCUCCCACCGCGGUUGUGUGUUAGCAGCCACCUAUCUGAGAGAACAUUCCGCCUUUGGUUUGGGGGGAUUGGCUUAUUCCUUAACAUAAUUGUCUCCAGAUCCACCUAUUUACCAGCAAAAGUCACAGUCAUUAUCGCUGAGUAGCAUUCCAUCACGUAGGUACACCACAUGUUCUUCACCCAUUCGUCUGUUGAAGGUCACCUGGGUCGGUUCCACAGUUUAGCUGCUGUGAACAUCGAUGUGGCUGCGUCACUGCAGUGUGCUGAUUUCAAGUUGUUUAUGUAUACAUCGAGGAGGGGGAGAACUGGGUCAAAUGGUGGUUCCAUUCCAAGCUUUCUGAGGAAUCUCCAGACUGCUUUCCAGAGUGGUUGCACCGAUUUGCAGUCCCCCCAGCAGUGUAUGAGUGAACCUUUUCCCCACAUCCUCACCAGCAUGUGUUGUUACCUGUAUUCGUGAUUGUUGCCAUUCUGACUGGGGUGAGAUGGAAUCUCAGUGUGGUUUUAAUUUGCAUUUUUCUGAUUGCUGCAGAUGUUGAAUAUGUGUUCAUAUAUCUGCUCACCAUUCAUACUUCUUCUGUGACGUGUUUGUUCAAUUCCUUAGUCCAUUUAUAGAUGGGGUCUUUUGGGGUUUUUUAAUUUGUAUUUUUUUAGUUGUAGAUGGACACAAUAUCUUUGUUUUAUCUUUAUUUAUUUUUAUGGUGCUGUGCAUCAAACCCAGUGCCUCAUGCAUGCAAGGCAAGCACUCAACCACUGAGCUAUAACCGCAGCCCUGGUGUUGAGUUUUUUGAGUUCUUCAUGUCUCCUGGAGAUAAUGCUGUAUCUGAGGUGCAGGUGCCAAAGAUGCGCUCCCAUUUUGUAGGCUCUCUUCAUGCUCAGACGUUUCCUUGACUGUGAAGCUCCUUAGUUUCAUACUAUCCUGUUUAGUGAUUCUUGAUUUUACUUCUUGCACUUUAGGAGUCCUGUUGAGGAGGAAGUCAGUUCCUAACCUGACAUUAUGGAGAUUUGGGCCUGCAUUUUCCUCUAGUAGGUGCAGGGUCUCUGGUCUAAUGCCUA
rnacentral:lncRNA from 1 species